UUUGGUUUUGUCUCAGUUCUUGCGCUCAGAUGGAUGCAUGCUGCCGAGCGAAUCACUGGCUUAUGUAAUAGUCAACAGAAGAAAGUGACCCUGCUAGUUGCCAUGGCUCAAAAAGCAGGAUUGAUGCCCAACCUGGCCCCCUAUUGGAGUAAAAGGAUCCCAGAAACGGUUUGGAUCUAAGAAUUCAACAGAUAUUUUGAUGAGGAGACAUUAAAUAUUAGAAUAUAAAAUAGUAUGAAUCUGUGUAUUUUUCAUCAUUCUGAUGUAAAAUUUACAUAUGUAAUUAUUCACUGAAAAAAUGUAUUCAUCAAAUGUAAAUAAAAUGACUGUUUGGAAAAUUAGUUUUAAUUAAUGUAUCGCAUGAACUCGAUAUUAUUUAUGUGGAAAGGGCAAUGUAAAAUCACUUGACCUUAUUUGAAGCAUAAAUAUGUGUA